AAAGUUGCUGCAAUUAAAAUGCUCAUAGUUAGAUCUUGGGAUCGGGCUGGCGGUCCAUCAUGAGGUGAGCAACAGCCUGUCCCCACCCCUGCCCUCUCGGCUUUCCCUCGAUGCUCUUAGCUGAGUGUCCCGUGGGACCUGAAGUGUUUACUUUGAAUUCAUGAGAGUGUUCAAAGCAGGCCUGGUCACAUGAGAACUCCAACUAGGAAUGAUGGAAUAGGAUGCCGUUCCCAAUUUUGUCGGUUUUCAGAAUUGGAUCCAUGAUUAAGAGGGAAGGCUGGGGGCAUUCGUAGUGUGCUGCUAGAUGUGAAAUUCUUGGAUCAGCUCAAGAUGGACCAGAGCAAAAGCAUUUGCUAAGAAUGUUUUCAUUAAUUAUGAACGAAAGUCAGAGGUACAAAGAUGAUCAGAUACCACUGAAGUUCUGACCACAAAUGAUGCCAACUCAUGAUCCAGCAGCACUAUUCUCAUGACCCCCAGACAGCCUUCUGGUAAACCAAAGUCUUUGUGUUUUG
rnacentral:ncRNA from 1 species